GCUGAGUGAGGUGGUUCACACAUGUAGUCCCAGCUACUUGGGAGGCUGAGGUGGAGGGAUCACUGAGCCUAAGAGUUUGAGACCAGCUUGGGCAACAUAGCGAGAUCCUGUCUCAA
rnacentral:sRNA from 1 species